rnacentral:rRNA from 1 species
GGCUUCCGGAGCUAACGCGUUAAAUCGACCGCUGGGGAGUACGGCCGCAAGGUUAAAACUCAAAUGAAUUGACGGGGGCCCGCACAAGCGGUGGAGCAUGUGGUUUAAUUCGAUGCAACGCGAAGAACCUUACCUACUCUUGACAUCCAGAGAAUUUAGCAGAGAUGCUUUAGUGCCUUCGGGAACUCUGAGACAGGUGCUGCAUGGCUGUCGUCAGCUCGUGUUGUGAAAUGUUGGGUUAAGUCCCGCAACGAGCGCAACCCUUAUCCUUUGUUGCCAGCACAUUAUGGUGGGAACUCAAAGGAGGCUGCCGGUGAUAAACCGGAGGAAGGUGGGGAUGACGUCAAGUCAUCAUGGCCCUUACGAGUAGGGCUACACACGUGCUACAAUGGCGUAUACAAAGAGAAGCGACCUCGCGAGAGCAAGCGGAACUCAUAAAGUACGUCGUAGUCCGGAUUGGAGUCUGCAACUCGACUCCAUGAAGUCGGAAUCGCUAGUAAUCGUAGAUCAGAAUGCUACGGUGAAUACGUUCCCGGGCCUUGUACACACCGCCCGUCACACCAUGGGAGUGGGUUGCAAAAGAAGUAGGUAGCUUAACCUUCGGGAGGGCGCUUACCACUUUGUGAUUCAUGACUGGGGUGAAGUCGUAACAAGGUAACCA